AGAGUUUGAUCAUGGCUCAGGAUGAACGCUGGCGGCGUGCAUAACACAUUCAAGUCGAACGGUGACGGGACUUCGGUCCCUGAACAGUGGCGGACGGGUGAGUAACGCGUGAGCAAUUUGCCUGGCAUAGAGGGAUAACACAGGGAAACUUGUGCUAAUACCACAUGACGUAUACGGAUCGCAUGUUCUGUAUACCAAAGGGAAACCGAUGUCAGAUGAGCUCGCGUUGGAUUAGACAGUUGGCAGGGUAACGGCCUACCAAAUCAACGAUCCAUAGCCGAACUGAGAGGUUGAACGGCCACAUUGGAACUGAGAAACGGUCCAGACUCCUACGGGAGGCAGCAGUGGGGAAUAUUGGGCAAUGGGCGAAAGCCUGACCCAGCGACGCCGCGUGAGGGAAGACGGUCUUCGGAUUGUAAACCUCUUUCAGCAGGGAAGAAGCAAGUGACGGUACCUGCAGAAGAAGUCACGGCUAACUACGUGCCAGCAGCCGCGGUAAUACGUAGGUGGCGAGCGUUAUCCGGAAUUAUUGGGUUUAAAGGGUGCGUAGGCUGUUUGUUAAGUCAGGGGUGAAAUACCGCAGCUCAACUGUGGAAUUGCCUUUGAUACUAGCAGGCUUGAAUACUGUUGCCGUGGGAGGAAUGAGUAGUGUAGCGGUGAAAUGCAUAGAUAUUACUCAGAACACCGAUUGCGAAGGCAGCAUACCGGCGCUCAACUGACGCUGAAGCACGAAAGCGUGGGGAUCAAACAGGAUUAGAUACCCUGGUAGUCCACGCAGUAAACGAUGAAUACUCGCUGUUGGCGAUAUACGGUCAGCGGCCAAGCGAAAGCAUUAAGUAUUCCACCUGGGGAGUACGCCGGCAACGGUGAAACUCAAAGGAAUUGACGGGGGCCCGCACAAGCGGAGGAACAUGUGGUUUAAUUCGAUGAUACGCGAGGAACCUUACCCGGGCUUAAAUUGCACUGGACAGGCUCAGAGAUGGGCUCUUCUUCGGACCAGUGUGAAGGUGCUGCAUGGUUGUCGUCAGCUCGUGCCGUGAGGUGUCGGCUUAAGUGCCAUAACGAGCGCAACCCUUGCCAUUAGUUACUAACAGGUCAUGCUGAGGACUCUAGUGGGACUGCCAUCGUAAGAUGUGAGGAAGGUGGGGAUGACGUCAAAUCAGCACGGCCCUUACGUCCGGGGCGACACACGUGUUACAAUGGCGGUCACAGAGGGAAGCUACCCUGCGAAGGGAUGCAGAUCUCGAAAAGCCGUCUCAGUUCGGACUGGAGUCUGCAACUCGACUCCACGAAGCUGGAUUCGCUAGUAAUCGCGCAUCAGCCAUGGCGCGGUGAAUACGUUCCCGGGCCUUGUACUCACCGCCCGU
rnacentral:rRNA from 1 species